rnacentral:lncRNA from 1 species
CUGCCUUGCCAUUUCUCCCUGAGCAUAUAAAAGCUUGGUGAUGCACUUUUCUUGCCUUCAGAGGCAGACCUCGAUUUAUGGCGCAACUCUAUGCCCACACAAGGAGUCAUGACUUAGUCGUGGAACCAUUGGAUGACUCCAAAUUGAUUAGUUGGCAGAAGGCCAAAUGGAGCUGUUCUCUGCCAGGGAGACAAUGACCACUGCGAGGUUGUGAUGUGUAAGUGUGAAGAUGGGUUUACUCAUCUAAACACUAUUUAUGAAUUGUUUCUUCUUUGGGAAUGGACAGAGCAAAGAACAACUCUCACCUCAAAGGGGGAUAGAGCCAGUUUAUUCUGAAGUCACAUAUGAGUGAUCAUGGCCUAGAAACCCCACAGAUUAGGCUGCCUCCCAAUUCUAUGUUCCGGUACAGUAAUACCUUAAAGUCUUUACAGUGGCCGAACAGAAAAGUCAUAAGUCAAGGCCCUUUCAUAUGCAUUAACGAAAAGAUUCAGUUGGCAGCUAAAACAGAGCAAGGGCGACCUUAGCUAUAGGCCUUAGAGCUAUCUAAAGACACUCUUCUUAAAGACUUUUGGUUUAUAGGAUCUAGGCUUUUUGCUUCAUUAAUACAAUCCAAAAGGUUAUACCCAUUACUCGUGGGUUAGGCAAGGGAUUGCUAUUAGGGAGCUAAACAUAGCACAAACUAAAUUGUAAUUAGGCUAUGGACUUGCACCUUUCCAACCUCUCUCCAGCCAUUAAAGUUCUUAUCAGUUAAUCAGCCUUACUGAAAGGUUCAGUAGACCAUGUGGCUUCUUCCCAGAGUCACCUUGUUAUCAUUUGUUAUGGAUACUUGAGAGCU